GAAGAUCAAAGCAGUGGAAACCACAAAAUGCAGAGAACCAACAGUGGAGCCAUGCCUAGUGAGAAGCAAAGAGACGCUGGAUGGCCUGAGAAAGGGAGAGAGAAUGAGAAAAGCUGUCAGCUUUUAGUUCCUGGUUCCAGUCCUUCAUGAGGGCCAGCUUGAUUCCAGAGAAAAGGUAAUUUGGAAAAUAUAGCCAUUUUUGGAAGACUGAGCAGCCAAGGUUCUUAAGUAUAGGAGACUGGGACCAAAAAAAAAAAGGUGUAUAACAGUUCACAACUUCAUCUACAGCCUCAAGCCAAGAACUAUGAAAAAGAUAAUGGUGUCUGAUGACAGGCCCCUACUAACAGUGUAAGGCUAUCUGUGAACUCCUCAGUCUACACAUAUCUUCCUCAGCCUCUGGGAUUCCAUUUCCACCCAAGAAUCAAAUUGAUAGAAAGAAGAACAGCAAAAUAUACACAUAUUUUUCCACUAUUAAAUCCAAUAAUGAUGACUUAAUUUCAGCAAAACAUCAUCAAUCGCAUUAAAUUAAUGUUGCCGUUAAUUUGAA